rnacentral:rRNA from 1 species
AACGAACGCUGGCGGCAGGCCUAACACAUGCAAGUCGAACGCCCGUAGCAAUACGGGAGUGGCAGACGGGUGAGUAACGCGUGGGAACGUGCCCUUCGGUUCGGAAUAACUCAGGGAAACUUGAGCUAAUACCGGAUACGUCCGUAAGGAGAAAGAUUUAUUGCCGAAGGAUCGGCCCGCGUCGGAUUAGCUAGUUGGUGGGGUAAUGGCCCACCAAGGCGACGAUCCGUAGCUGGUCUGAGAGGAUGAUCAGCCACACUGGACUGAGACACGGCCCAGACUCCUACGGGAGGCAGCAGUGGGGAAUAUUGGACAAUGGGCGAAAGCCUGAUCCAGCCAUGCCGCGUGAGUGAAGAAGGCCUUAGGGUUGUAAAGCUCUUUCAGCGGGAAGGAUAAU